ACACACGUCCGGGGACGGUGACCCGGCACCUCCCUGAGCAUCACCGCUCUUUCAGAGAAGUUUUUCCCAACACCUGACUGGAUUAAGUGCGGAAAACACGUCGGGACCGCCUCACAGAGGAUUUCAUGCCAGCACCAACGUGGCCGUGCCUUGAUUGUAGAGAGGCAGGUGCUGAGGCUGUUCCGUGUGUCGCUUCACUCAUAAACAAGUUUCUUCAGAAGUUGCUGAGUUUGCUGAAAAAUAUGACUUCAUCCACUCGUGCCCUACGGACGAACUGUGCUGCAAUGAGAAACUUACAGCCACCUCAGCAGGUUUCUUCGUUCUGAAAAAACAGCACUAGCACAGCACUGAUGUACCAUAUCACUGUACGUGUGUACACUGACAUACAACAGAGAGACCUGGAAAAGCGUCCAAUAAGUUUAAGAAAUAAUUUCACUAUUUCCUUACAAAUUCCAAAUGUAAGAUUGAAAUUUGUAUCUGGGACUAGGCAGAGCCACACUGAAGUCCUUCUAACUAAGAAAUGUAUAGCAGGAUUAUUCUGAUUAUCAAGGAUACACGAGUAAUUCUUUAUUGCUCUAUUCAACAAAUAUCUUCCCUAAAUCUUUUUAUACAGACUUGCUUAAAUUCUUCUCAAUCUAAUUUUUACUACCACUUCUAAGUUAGUUUAUGAUUCAACUGUACUCUCAAUCAAAAUUUCCUGGUUUUUUUCUGAUAUUUCUUUGUCUAUUCCAACCUAGGAAAAAGGAGUUUCUUCUGUUCUGCUCUUUACAAACCAUUUGUUUUGCUGAAGAAAAUAAUAUUUGUUUAAGCCCUAUGGAAACACACUUAUUGACCAAGGUGGGAUCUUUGGAAGAUGCUAAGCAACAGAAAAGCUACUAACAUUAAAAAUAAAGCAAUUCUGUCAAGAAUUAAAACCUAGAAAAUAUAUAUGAAUAGCCCUGAAGUACAUGAAAUAUUUUUAAGACUACAUUCAACAUAACUCCAUUGCUUUGGACUUAGAAGUCAGAUAGCAUAGAUUUCAAGAAAAAAAAGCAAAAGGAAAUCAGACACAAAUUUAUCUUUAGUUUGGCCAUCUGUUAUCUACCUUUUAUUUCACCUGCCAUGUACAUUAGCAAAUACCAUCAAACGCUAUCAUCUUGCUCCUCAACAAUAGAGGAAAACUCAACUCUGUGUGUUAGAUAUUUUGAGGGAUUCAGGUCUUAUUAGCAUCUUUCCAAAUAAGCAAACAUACUUCAUUUCACUCAACCAAAAAGGAAAGUACCACAUACCUUAAUUUUCAGUGGAUUGAUCUCCAUAUCAGAAGUGCAGUUCAUGGGACCAUCAAUGUCAUAUUGAACAAUAUACAAGAGUGUAUAGUUUUUGUAUUUGUAAGGCCACUGCAGAGUCAUCAUCACCUUGC